rnacentral:lncRNA from 1 species
AGAGGGCAAAGGCUGCCGGGUGAGAGGCAGGAGGAACAGCGCUAGGAAGGUUUGAGGAGGUGCUGCCCCCAGGAGGGAAGUGGGGUGGCUCCCCAUGGCUUCUCCCGGGGCUGGCACUGAAGCUGGAGCACAGGAUGUGCUGACGGGGGUCCAGAGGCAGAGUCCUUAACUUACUCAGCUUAAGCGUGGCAUGAGUCCCAACUGGGAGGGGCCCUGGCAGCAUGAAACCCCCACCCCCACUCUCUGCGACGGCCCAGAUGGAGGGCAGGAGGAACAGCGGUUCAGCCCUGGCUGGGGCUGCAGGGGCUGGGGUGUGUUACUCACUGGCACGAUGGAGAACUGCAUGAAGAGGCAGCGGAGUGCUGUCUGUCCCCACCCUUCCCCGCCCGGCCUCCAACUGGUGGGAACUGGAUUUUGCGGCUGCAGAGGACUUCCCCAAAUUUUGCCACAUUAACAGCUGACUGCACAUCUGAGCCCCGAGGCAAUGCGGUGUGCAGAGGGUGCUUGGUGGUUCUCUCCUGAUGGCCCCGCAGGGUCUGCAGCCUCCAUCUGGCCAGCAGAGGGCGCAGAAGGACUGCCUGGGCAGCUCGGACGUGACCGCCUGGAAGUGGUGUACAGCGUUCCUGACAACGUUCCCGGCCAAAACGGGUCCCGCCGCCCACUUGUGUGCAAGAUAACUGGAAAAUGUCUUUCUGUGUGCUCCGAGGAGAAUGCAAAGGCUGGUGGAUGUAGUGCCUUUCCUCUACUGCUCUCUCAGCUGGGGGCAAGAAUGACAGGACGUGAACAUGCACACAAGGGCCCGGAACUCACGACCCCCGACAGCGGUCUCCCCCGCCCCCCCAACCCCGCGCUUGCAGGAUUUAGGGCACUAGCACAGCACAGUCCACCCCUUGGGACUAGCACCCCCUCCGCAGUUCUGCUCUCUGCAGCAACAUAGAGUACAAAUAUUGUUCCUUUUGUUUCUUUUUUCCCUUUGGAUACAUUUUUAAUUACAAAAAUAGAGCUUGAUUGUUGCACCUAGA